AGGGGAGUGAAGAAAGAAGAUAAGACUCUGGCUGUAGGGAUCCAGUUUAUGCUCCAGAGAGUCUUGGCCUGGAUGCCCAGCCCUGUGAUCCACGGCAGCGCCAUCGACACCACCUGUGUGUACUGGGCCCAGAGCUGUGGGCGCCGGGCCGUCUGUCGCUACUAUGACCACGACCUGCUUCGAAACCGGUUCAUCGGUCUGCAGUUCUUCUUCAAGACAGGCUCCCUGGCCUGCUUUGCCUUGAUUUUGGCCAUCCUGAGGCAGCAGGACAAAGAGGAGGGGACCAAGGCGACUAUGUCCAGCCCUGGCCUCCAGCAGCAGCUGUUAGUGUCUGGGCCAAAGAAGGAGCCUGAGGAAUCCAGAGUGUGAGCUAUCCCUGGGCCCCCCACCUUGGCCAAGAGUGGCAGCCACAGCAAGAGCCUUUGGCCUGAGAUUGGGUGUCGAGAGCCCCAUUUUCCAAUUCUGAGUCCUCUGCUCACUUGCUUUGUGGCUUUGGGCAAGUUACUGACCAUUUUGGGCCUUUGUUUUCUCAUCUGAACCAAAGAAUUACGUGGGGGGUUGCUGCGUUGGCCACUCCUGAAGCACUAGGGUUUCCCCGCUUUCUCCUCCAGAAGCACAGCUGACUUGAAACCAGGCUUUCCUGGGUGGAAGGACUGCAUCUCUUUCCCCAAGGGCCCUAGGAUGGAGAAGUGGACAGUAGUAGGCCAGGUGGCCCUGCACACUGGGUCCUGGCCCUUCUCUGCUGCUCACCUGGAGCGCCUCUCUGAGCCUCAGCCUCUACCUCUAUCAGGUGGACAUGAACUUGUCAGCUUUCAGGCUCCUUCCAACGGUGACCUUCUCUGUGGCCAGGAGGGACUCAGGUCUCCUCCCCAAGCCCGCUCUGCUGGAGGUGGAGCCUGUCCAGCCUCUGUUGAGAAGUGUCCAUUUGGCGCCCCCUGGAGGCAGAGCUCUGGGGACACCCACUGGGGAGGGAAUGGGUCACAUUCAGGACAUCCGGGCUGGGCAGGGCCUUCAGGACACCUGGUGUGAGGGUCCCAGGGGUCUUGGCUGAGCUGGGGGAUUCACUCUCUGGACUCAGGAAAUCCCAGCCCUUGCCCUCAGGGAGCUACAGUGUGGGUGACUGUGCCUUAGGGUCUCUGGUGGAGAGGGGGACCCAGGCCCCCACACAGGGGCAUUUUCUAACUUCAAGGACCAAGCAUUCAGCACAGACUCACUGGUACCAUUCAUUGCCAAGAUUUCACACCUUUGACCCGGGCCCACCUAAGCCACUGUGACUUUUGUGAUGAGAAUUCUAAUUUCAUCCCUUCCUAAGUGAUGUGGUGUCGCCUGGGGUGUGUAGACACCGUUUGGGUCUGUGACACCCCUGUUUUGGGGUAACAUCUGGUUCUCUGUGAUGCCUGGGUUGGCAUAAGAACCUGCUUUUGGGGUAAUGCCUGGGUUUGUGUAACAAGUGGUCCAUUGGAUGCUUGGGUCUGAACAAGCAGAUCUUGUCUGUGUCAGGCCUUGUCCUGGCUUGGCUUGUUUUAUGGCCAGUCUUCUCCGGCCUGGUUCUCUCUCUGGGAAAGGGAGAGUUCCUCCCUCUGCUCCUGUCCCAUUUGGUCCCUACCCAUCCCCAGCCUGGCUACUUGGGAGGCAGGAGGCGGGGAGCCAUCAGCAGGGGCUUCCCGAACCCUGUGUCCAGCCCUCUGCUGGGAGCUGGGGGAGAAGCUGGGGGCCUGGGGCGCACCUGGCUCUGGCCCUCUAUGCCUCUCUCAGUGGCAGGGCUUCGAGGCCAUCCCACAUGAAAGAAGAGAGAGGGACCAGAGUUCUCGGCCCCAUUUUUAUUCUACUAGCUGAUACCUUCAACUGUUUAACAAAUAUCUGAGCCUGUAUUUAUCCAUGCCAGGAAUUUCAAAGUCCUCCAACAAGAGGAGGCUCUGUGUACUUCACACCCCUUUUCUUUCCCUCUUGUUUCCCAGAUUUUGCAGAAAUAACCUGGAAUUAUAGAUACAGCUCACUACUAAAUUUGUUCUUGCGUAAAGUCUCUUCUGUUUCCAGAAUCCUUUCUUAUAAACUGCAUUGCAGUUUGCAACAACCACCUUAUGGCCAGUUUUUCGAUUUAAGUUUUACUGGAUGCACGGCUCACCAUGAUGUCUCAUACAUUACAGCCUCCCCUACCUGUAUAUUCUGGUCUAAUUUUUGUCUGGCUGUGCAGCUUCCUCUAGGAACAGUUUCAGAAAUGGAACAAAGUCACAGGGCCUUCCACGUCCUCACCUGUCCAAACUGUCACUCAUGUUUUCCAGGAGAGAGAGCUGUUCAGGAAGGAUAAGCCACUUCUCCAGGAUCACACAAAAGUAACGGUAGCACUAGAAUGAGAUCCAGAUUGUGUGGGGAACUGAAGCUUAUACAAUCUGGAGACUCCUCUUUAAGAAAAGGAACAGAAAAUUAGGUAAGAAGGUGAAUAUUUACUUAGAAUGGAAAAAAAAAAGGAGUCAAAACAUACACAUUCCACAAUUCAGAAAAACAGCAUAAGAUUUUUUACUAACUGCUGGGCAAACUUCCACAAUUUUUCCUUUGAACGACUGGAAAUAUUUUCUACAGACUAGCUUUUGGUUCUGUACAUUUCAAAUCUGUUUUUCUUCUACUGCCCGCAUACGUCCAGGGCUGGGCAGCAGAAGACAUAGUCAUAUCACAGGAUGACCUCUGGAUAUGACACCUUGAUGUCACAGAGCCAAACGGGUUGGACUAUGGGUAGGAAGAUUCCUAGAAGCCAUCUUCUCUACAGAGGAAGCCAGCCAUGAUUUAUCUGUACACAAAAGUGACCGAGAACUGCAUAUAGAGAUAUAAAAUCUCCCUGUGAACCCAACUUAAAUUGAUCCCCAACUCCAGUCCCCUUCAGCCAGAUCCCAGACAGGCCCGUGCCAACCACCUCAGUUAAAGGGAAACUGGGACACAAGGGAAGCUGGAGCGGAAAGAACUGGCAAUCUUGCCCCAUUGUGGGCAAAGUGUCUACCUGUGCAUAUUUCCCGAGAACCUGACAGCAUCAACAUACUGCAGAUGCCUCUCCCUGUCCGGGCGGAGGAGAGGCCCUGAUGCUCAAACAGCCAUAGCUUUGUACUGAGUCCAUCUUGAGGUUAAGCUGAGACUUAAAGAUGAGGUGCUUGUGCUUAAAAACACCCAGGGAUCGAACCAUGUCCUCAAGGAUACUAGUCGGGUUUGUUACCACUCAGCCACAACGGGAACCCCUCCUACUAGAUUUUUUGGCAGUAAAAUCUAGCAGAGGACAGAGCUGGCACCAGAAUGGGCAUCCUGAUGCCCAGCCUGGAGUUCCUUUCCUGUAUACCCACGCUGGGAAGUUGCAGGGCAGGCAGUGCCCCUCAGGAGCCGGGAGCCAGGAGCCUCAAUUGGAGCAUAAAUAAAUGAGGAGCAAGAAUCCACGGCCCCCUUGCCACUCUUUGGACAUGUCAAAUUCUCUCCCCCAACGAGCCCCGCAUGUGCUCCUCCCUCCACGCAGCUGGACCCCUUCACGCCCCACCCCACUGCUUGCUUCUCCAUCCUGCUUCAUGAAGUCCUACCCAAUCUUCCAGACCCAGCUCAAAGGCCACCAUCUCCAGGGACACAGCAGGGUAUAAGCCAUGGGGUGGUGACAACCACCUUAGGGAAUCUGAUAAAAGAGAUGGACUCGCCAUUGAAAAUGCACACAAACGUAUACACCAGUGUGCCUCUGAUUUCAGAGCUCGGGGACCACCUGAAGCCUGGCUGUAGCCCUCCAGUUGAAUG
rnacentral:lncRNA from 1 species